AUUACCCCUGAGAUGUUGCAGGUGUGGCUGUGUGUCACAUGUCUUUGGGUAGGUGGCAGAGAGGAGAAAGGUUAUAUCUACUCUCAGUGUUCAGACCUGUGAACAUCUGAAAGAAUAGUAGCCUAAUAUU